UACGUAGGGGGCGAGCGUUGUCCGGAUUUAUUGGGCGUAAAGAGCGUGUAGGCGGCCAGGUAGGUCCGUUGUGAAAACUCGAGGCUCAACCUCGAGACGUCGAUGGAAACCAUCUGGCUAGAGUCCGGAAGAGGAGAGUGGAAUUCCUAGUGUAGAGGUGAAAUUCGUAGAUAUUAGGAAGAACACCAGUGGCGAAGGCGGCUCACUGGCCCGGUACUGACGCUGAGGCGCGAAAGCGUGGGGAGCAAACAGG
rnacentral:rRNA from 1 species